rnacentral:rRNA from 1 species
UACGAAGGGGGCUAGCAUUGCUCGGAAUCACUGGGCGUAAAGGGUGCGUAGGCGGGUCUUUAAGUCAGAGGUGAAAUCCUGGAGCUCAACUCCAGAACUGCCUUUGAUACUGAGGAUCUUGAGUUCGGGAGAGGUGAGUGGAACUGCGAGUGUAGAGGUGAAAUUCGUAGAUAUUCGCAAGAACACCAGUGGCGAAGGCGGCUCACUGGCCCGAUACUGGCGCUGAGGCACGAAAGCGUGGGGAGCAAACAGG